AUUAGCUUCGGCAGUAUAUAUUUUAAAAUUGGAUCGUUACGGAGUAGACUUGCACGGAUUCUGAGCAAGGAUGAUAUGCAAUUUUGUGAAGUUGCAAACAUCUAA